CCUACGGGAGGCAGCAGUGGGGAAUAUUGGGCAAUGGGCGCAAGCCUGACCCAGCAACGCCGCGUGAAGGAAGAAGGCUCUCGGGGUGUAAACCUCUUUUAAGAGGGAAGAGCAGAAGACGGUACCUCUUGAAUAAGCCACGGCUAACUACGUGCAAGCAGCCGCGGUAAUACGUAGGUGGCAAGCGUUGUCCGGAUUUACUGGGUGUAAAGGGCGUGCAGCCGGGAAGACAAGUCAGAUGUGAAAUCCCGCGGCUCAACCGCGGAACUGCAUUUGAAACUGUUUGUCUUGAGUACCGGAGAGGUCAUCGGAAUUCCUUGUGUAGCGGUGAAAUGCGUAGAUAUAAGGAAGAACACCGGUGGCGAAGGCGGAUGACUGGACGGCAACUGACGGUGAGGCGCGAAAGCGUGGGGAGCAAACAGGAUUAGAUACCCUUGUAGUC
rnacentral:rRNA from 1 species